UCUUUAGCUGCUCAUGUGGCUCUCCAGUGCAGUUCAGGACUGGAACCUUGGCCCAGCACCUCAGCUGUUCAUGUUCACGCCUUUCCACAAAAACCUGGGGCUGCCAUUUCUCUGGCCUCUGCCCACUCAGCCCUGUGCCAGGCAGUCCGCCUGUCUCUUGAACCCCACACACAGUUUCAGUGGGCAGUCAGGCUCUGUCCACAGUCACGGUUAAGAUAAGCCUCAGCUUGGCUUCCUGGGGCUUCCACAGGUGGGCUGCAACUGUCAGACCCCCAGGACCUGUGACUCAACAUGACCGUGAACUUACAACCUUGUGAUGUGGACAUCUGGUGUCCCCUUCACUCUGGGUGUCCGUCCACGUGGCACUUGCUGCCAGGCCCAGUGCUGGGGGCACAGUGACCUGGAGCUCUUCUCUACCAAAGCAGCCAAUGGGCGCUGCUCAGGACUCUGACCAGACAACCCCCAGCCAUAUGCAUGCCAUUCAUGCACAGAGCCUGGGGCUGUGGGCUGGCAGGUGGCCAGGGUUGGGGUGGACUGCUGGUGACUCAAGGCCUUUCUCAGAGGGGACUCUUAUGGAGUUGGUGCUAUCACUGGGUCUAGUUCAGGCCAUUCCUGGGAGCACAGCCCUGGAGGCUUCCAGCGAUGCUCCCUGCCACCUCGUUCCCUCCACAGCCCAGGAGCCCCUCUAGAAUCUCCCAGGGCUGUGCACUCUUGGAGACUCUGAAACCCUUCUUGACUGCUCCCUCCCUGCCACGGCACCCUGUGGUCUCCGUGUCUGCCCACGGGGUCACAGAGGCUUCUGCACAGGCUGGGCUCAGUGUGCAGAGGGGAGGUCACAGCUUGUGGCACAGCUGUGUUCUGGGCAGGUGCUUCCCUCAUGUGUGAGCCGGGGCUGACAACAGUGGCCUCUUUAAGGCUGAGCUGUGGUGCCCCAGGUCUAGCCAGGCACCCCCAGCUCCCAGGGGCUCAGCAAAGGGAGCAGUCAUGGUCAUGGGGUCACCCAGGGUCCAUCUGGACGUUUGGCAGCACAGGGUCCCAUGGAGGUCACAGACCCGGCCCACUUCCUCUCCUAUGCCUUGGACAUCUGCCUGCACGAUUGGGCUUCUGCCAGUAUCCCGUUGGUGAAAAAACUACAUUUUAUUAAUGAACAUGGAAAACAAGGCAGAGACGGGAGAAAUGGGACAGUAUAUGGAGAAAUAAUCACC